rnacentral:pre_miRNA from 1 species
CUUGUACUCCCUCCGUCCGAAAAUACUUGUCAUUGAAAUGGAUGUAUCUAGAUGUAUUUUAGUUCUAGACACAUCCAUUUUGAUGAAAAGUAAUUCUGGACGGAGGGAGUACUUG